UACGAAGGGGGCUAGCGUUGUUCGGAAUUACUGGGCGUAAAGCGCACGUAGGCGGAUUAGUAAGUCAGGGGUGAAAUCCCGGGGCUCAACCUCGGAACUACCUUUGAUACUGCUGAUCUCGAGUCCGGAAGAGGUGAGUGGAAUUCCUAGUGUAGAGGUGAAAUUCGUAGAUAUUAGGAAGAACACCAGUGGCGAAGGCGGCUCACUGGUCCGGUACUGACGCUGAGUUGCGACAGCCUGGGGAGCAAACAGG
rnacentral:rRNA from 1 species